GACGAACGCUGCGGCGUGCUUAACACAUGCACGUCGCACGGAAAGGCCCUGCUUUUGUGGGGUGCUCGAGUGGCGAACGGGUGAGUAACACGUGAGUAACCUGCCCUUGACUUUGGGAUAACUUCAGGAAACUGGGGCUAAUACCGGAUAGGAGCUCCUGCUGCAUGGUGGGGGUUGGAAAGUUUCGGCGGUUGGGGAUGGACUCGCGGCUUAUCAGCUUGUUGGUGGGGUAGUGGCUUACCAAGGCUUUGACGGGUAGCCGGCCUGAGAGGGUGACCGGCCACAUUGGGACUGAGAUACGGCCCAGACUCCUACGGGAGGCAGCAGUGGGGAAUAUUGCACAAUGGGCGGAAGCCUGAUGCAGCAACGCCGCGUGCGGGAUGACGGCCUUCGGGUUGUAAACCGCUUUCGCCUGUGACGAAGCGUGAGUGACGGUAAUGGGUAAAGAAGCACCGGCUAACUACGUG
rnacentral:rRNA from 1 species